GAGUACCUCCAUCCCGGAGCAGCUGGGAGGGUCAGGGCCGGUGUCAGGGCGGUCCUGGGAGCUCGUGGUCCCGAGUGCUGCGGCCAGGCUCGGGGUGGGGGGGUCUUGAUGGCCAGAUGGGUCCAUGAAAUGCCCCGAAGGCAGAGAUGGCCUUGGUGACAGGAAUGCACAGACACGGCCCUUUCUCACUGUUCCCAAGUGCUUCCUCUUAAAGCUUUCGAGUUCGGGGUCCAGUUCUUAGGAGCACAGCUGCAAACUCUUAUUUUGCUCCUGUUUUAAUUUUAACUAGGGGUUGGGGGGCAGCUUGUCCAGUUGAAAUUUGCCAUUGUUUUCUGCUGUUUUGAGUGUCAGGAUUGGCACCGGGAGAUGGGCGGGUCCCGGGCAGGUCCCGCGGGUCCAGCCGCCCUGGUCGGCCCCCCACUGCCCUCCCAGCCCCAAUCUUUGGUUUCCUUUAACCGGUGCCUCUGCGCCCGUGGUUCUGUCACCAGCCGCAGCCACUCCAAGCCCACUGCCCCCUUUCUCGGCAGAGAGCCUUGGGACAGCCAGCGACUGGGGCUGCCGAGACCUCGCCUCCGUCAGCGGCCCCGCGGCCCCCAGCGGGCAGCCCGGACACGUCCGUGGGGGGUCGUGAUCUCUAGACACAUGGUUGGAGGCGGUCUGCCCGCAGGGUUGGAGGCUCCUUAGUUGGAGAAAAGCCUAGAGAAGCCCUGGCCCGGUGCACUGGCCUGGCCUGGCCUUUGCCAGCCUUGCACCUGUCGGCCGUGUGCAGGGCUGAGUGUGAGGCAGGGCCCAGAGUCAGUGGGGCCCCCACAGGGCAGGCCGGGCCAGGCCAGACGGUCCCCAGUGAGGCUAUGCGGGCAGACCCAGGUAGGGGUCUCAUGAGUUAGGACUCUUGUGCCCAGUCAGGUGAGGGCACGGUGGGGGAGGCCCCGUCCCGUGUCCUCCCCAGCCCCCUGUGUGGUGGUGGGUCCUCAGGUCCGCCUUUCAUCUCCAAAGACGACCCUUCUCAUCACCCGUGGUUUUAUCUGUCCUGCUGGUGUCACCAAGGAGCUGGCCUCCUGGGAUUAGUCCUAGGAAGGAAACUGGAAGAAACUCAGGCAUUUCCCCUCCUGACUGUGUUUUCACUUGGUACUUUUUUCAAAGAAAAGGCUGGGGAAGGUGAGCACAGUCUAGGUGGGAUUUGCUCAGCAGAGUACCACCAGGCACACAUGUCAUCACUGCUCCCGCACAGGGGGCAUGGGGCGGGUGGCGGCAGCGCUCGGCAGGGUCAGGCCCCCGCCCUUCCUCACCUACUUGAUGGCUCCCAGGGCUGUGAUGGCCAUGGCUUCAGGCAGUGGUCAGAGGGACACCGAUGCGGCUCCCGCUGAGGGUGAUGAGGCAGCAACCAGGGUGUGGACGGAGGACCUGGGAUCCUGCAAGAGGCACCAGGGCUGCUGGGCCUGCAGCAGGAUAGUCUUUUGUCGUCUUGUCGUUAUUUUGCCACUUAAAAGUUACCAUUCAGGACUCGCAGUGGGUGCAGGGCAGUGGGUGCCAGGGCUGGGGGAGGGGCGGCCAGCCCUCUGAGCUCCUGGGAAGUUUCCUGUGUGGGUGUGGGGCUGGAUAGAGGCGGGCCUCACACAGCCCUGUGCACGCGCUCAAUGCCACUGAAUCCUUCACUUUUAAAAGGUUAUGCUCACCU
ensembl:lncRNA